GAAGGUGUGUCGUGAGGCAUGCUGGAGGUAUCAGAAGUGCGAAUGCUGACAUAAGUAACGAUAAAGCGGGUGAAAAGCCCGCUCGCCGGAAGACCAAGGGUUCCUGUCCAACGUUAAUCGGGGCAGGGUGAGUCGACCCCUAAGGCGAGGCCGAAAGGCGUAGUCGAUGGGAAACGGGUUAAUAUUCCCGUACUUGGUGUUACUGCGAAGGGGGGACGGAGAAGGCUAUGUUGGCCGGGCGACGGUUGUCCCGGUUUAAGCGUGUAGGUGUGUGUUCCAGGUAAAUCCGGUUCACUUUAACACUGAGGCGUGACGACGAGGCACUACGGUGCUGAAGCAACAAAUGCCCUGCUUCCAGGAAAAGCCUCUAAGCAUCAGGUAACACGAAAUCGUACCCCAAACCGACACAGGUGGUCAGGUAGAGAAUACCAAGGCGCUUGAGAGAACUCGGGUGAAGGAACUAGGCAAAAUGGUGCCGUAACUUCGGGAGAAGGCACGCUGACACGUAGGUGAAGUGAUUUACUCACGGAGCUGAAGUCAGUCGAAGAUACCAGCUGGCUGCAACUGUUUAUUAAAAACACAGCACUGUGCAAACACGAAAGUGGACGUAUACGGUGUGACGCCUGCCCGGUGCCGGAAGGUUAAUUGAUGGGGUCAGCGCAAGCGAAGCUCCUGAUCGAAGCCCCGGUAAACGGCGGCCGUAACUAUAACGGUCCUAAGGUAGCGAAAUUCCUUGUCGGGUAAGUUCCGACCUGCACGAAUGGCGUAAUGAUGGCCAGGCUGUCUCCACCCGAGACUCAGUGAAAUUGAACUCGCUGUGAAGAUGCAGUGUACCCGCGGCAAGACGGAAAGACCCCGUGAACCUUUACUAUAGCUUGACACUGAACAUUGAGCCUUGAUGUGUAGGAUAGGUGGGAGGCUUUGAAGUGUGGACGCCAGUCUGCAUGGAGCCGACCUUGAAAUACCACCCUUUAAUGUUU
rnacentral:rRNA from 1 species